rnacentral:rRNA from 1 species
UACGUAGGGACCAAGCGUUGUUCGGAUUUACUGGGCGUAAAGGGCGCGUAGGCGGCUAUUCAAGUCAGUUGUGAAAUCUCCGAGCUUAACUCGGAACGGGCAACUGAUACUGGUUUGCUAGAGUACAGAAGGGGCAAUCGGAAUUCUUGGUGUAGCGGUGAAAUGCGUAGAUAUCAAGAGGAACACCUGAGGUGAAGACGGGUUGCUGGGCUGAUACUGACGCUGAGGCGCGAAAGCUAGGGUAGCAAACGGG